rnacentral:rRNA from 2 species
UGGGGAAUUUUCCGCAAUGGGCGAAAGCCUGACGGAGCAAUACCGCGUGAGGGAUGAAAGCCUGUGGGUUGUAAACCUCUUUUCUCAAGGAAGAAGUUCUGACGGUACUUGAGGAAUAAGCAUCGGCUAACUCU